GACGAGGGAUCCUAGCGUUGUUCGGAAUUAUUGGGCGUAAAGCGGGUGCAGGUGGCUUUGUAAGUCAGGUGUGAAAUCCCAGGGCUCAACCCUGGAAGUGCAUUUGAUACUGCGAAGCUUGAGUGUGGGAGAGGUGAGUAGAAUUCCAGGUGUAGUGGUGAAAUACGUAGAUAUCUGGAGGAAUACCGGAGGCGAAGGCGGCUCACUGGCCCAACACUGACACUCAGCCCCGAAAGCGUGGGGAUCAAACAGG
rnacentral:rRNA from 1 species